rnacentral:rRNA from 1 species
GGGGAAUUUUCCGCAAUGGGCGAAAGCCUGACGGAGCAAUGCCGCGUGGAGGAGGAAGGCCCGAGGGUUGUAAACUCCUUUUCUCAGAAAAGAAGAUCUGACGGUAUCUGAGGAAUAAGCAUCGGCUAACUCCGUGCCAGCAGCCGCGGUAAGACGGAGGAUGCAAGCGUUAUCCGGAAUGAUUGGGCGUAAAGCGUCUGUAGGUGGUUUAUUAAGUCUGCUGUUAAAGCACAGGGCUCAACCCUNUAUAGGCGGUAGAAACUGGUAGGCUUGAGUAUGGUAGGGGUAGAGGGAAUUCCCGAUGUAGUGGUGAAAUGCGUUGAUAUCGGGAAGAACACCAAAGGCGAAAGCACUCUGCUGGGCCAAUACUGACACUAAGAGACGAAAGCUAGGGGAGCA